rnacentral:RNase_P_RNA from 1 species
GUAUUCGGGUAAUCGAACGGAUGAAAAUCCGUUAGGAAAGUCCUUGCUAGCACAUGCUGAGAUGCAUGUAGUGUUUAUGCCUAAUGAAACCAUAAGUUAGGACACUUGGGAAAGUGAUGGCGGAGAUGAACCUGUCAAAUGGCGAUUCUUCAUAAAGUGCCACAGUGACGAAGUUCUCGGGAAACCGGGAAGUGAAACGGGUAAACCCCAUAAGCUAGAAACCCAAAUUAUGGUAGGGGAACCUUAAAUUCGGAAAUGAACGGAUUUAGGGCUAUCACAGCACGUGGUAGAGAUAAAUGAUUACCGCUUCCUUUGGAAGUACAGAACAAGGCUUACAGAA